rnacentral:lncRNA from 1 species
GCAUGAUUUCAUGUUCAGCCUCCCAGAAUCAUAAACCAAAUUUUCUUCCACUUGUGUGCAAUGUUCUGUUUCCAUCUCUAGGAUGCUCUAUGUGGCUCUUUCCAUGUGUAGUUUCCAAUGAAACAGGAAGGACUCUAAUUGAGUGCCUGCCCACAUCUCUGCAGCUCCACACCUUCCACUAAGGGCACAAUAAGACCUCCACUGUGAGAGGCUCCACAGUGUACUACGUUGGUAAAAUAAAUGACUACCCCCCAGUGUUGCUGGGAAGACUGGUGAAGCUAUGUAAAAAGAGCUCCAAUCCACCAUCUUCUUGGAUGAGGUGGAGAAAAAUUAUCACCAAUGUUAGGUCAAAAUAACUGUCAAGGUCCAAGGCUGGAACUUCUGUCUCUAGGAAGCAAAUUGAUUGACUUAGAUUCUUGAGGAGUAGCUAGAUCAGGUUAACAAUCAGUUUUUAGGCUUGGCAUGGUGGCUCACGCCUGUAAUCCCAGCACUUUGGGAGGUCAAGUUGGG